rnacentral:antisense_RNA from 1 species
GGGAGCUUGGAUGUGGAAGCUCUUUGGAAACCAAGAAACACUCUGCAAAUGAAAAGGAUGCCAACUUCAUCUGUCUUUAAGAAUACAAUAUUAGUUUAAAAGACUGUUCAACUUAAAGCAGUCUUGUAGAGAUUGUCACCCAUGAUUGAUGCUGGCAUAAGAAUGUUUAUCACAGCAUGGCAUAUAUUGGAAGUUUAGUAAAUGAAGAUACAUCCAAUCUGACAUUCCAUUCACAACCACAAAGAGAUAAUGUAGAAACAUAUUUAGUAAUGUGAGAAAAUACUAAAUAUUAAGUGGAAAAAGGUGGAAGAGUAAACUGUUCCCGUUUCUCCAAAUUGACAGGAAGCAGAAGUUCUCCUUAGCUGAUUUUUCUUCUUGCCUUAUACUGGGUUCUUUAACACCAGAACAAAAAUAAAUAAAUAAAAGAAUCUUCCAGAAAUUCAUGAAGAGACUUCAGGUCAGGAAAGCCUGAACUUUCUCAUCUAACACCUGUUCAAGUCGGAGGAUGCUGAUUAAUUCAUGAUGGAAAGGUAUCAAUUUCACAGCCCAGACUUCUACAUUCUUGAAAUGCUGUUCUCAUGGGAGACAUUAAAUAAGCUUUGAAAUAACUUGCCAUGACACCCAGGAUGCAGCUGUAGGAACACCACUGGGUCCCUGGAUAUCAUGUAAGCCCUUAAGUAAAGGUGCCAUCAAAUGAUUUCUCAGAAAUUAUAAAGAAACAAAAGGACCAUAAACAAGAUAAGGUGGCACGAGGAAACACUAAAAGUACCUUUCAGAGCUGACUGGCAAAGAAACUCCUGAGGUGAUGG